GUCCCAGAGCCUGUAAAGGUGAACCCACUGGGGCUGGCUGGGGGAGAAGAGGAAAGCUUGUUACAGAGGGAACUGUCUGA
rnacentral:snoRNA from 1 species